ensembl:misc_RNA Metazoa_SRP Metazoan signal recognition particle RNA
GCUGGGCAUGGUGGCCCAUGUCUGUAGUCCCAGCUACUUGGGAGGCUGAGGUGGAAGGAUCACUUGAGCCCAGGAGUUCUGGGCUGUAGCGCACUAUGCUGAUUGGGUGUCUGCGCUAAGUUAGGCAUCAAUGUGGUGACCUGCUGGGAGCAAGGAACCACCAGGUUGCCUAAGGAGGGGUGACCCGGCCCAGGUCGGAAAUGGAGCAGGUCAAAACACCUGUUGAUCAGUAGUGGGAUCACACCUGUGAAUGGCCACUGCACUCCAGCCUGGACAACAUAGCAAGAUGCCAUCGCUA